AUUGAACGCUGGCGGCAGGCCUAACACAUGCAAGUCGAGCGGAUGAAGGGAGCUUGCUCCUGGAUUCAGCGGCGGACGGGUGAGUAAUGCCUAGGAAUCUGCCUGGUAUUGGGGGAUAACGUCCGGAAACGGGCGCUAAUACCGCAUACGUCCUGAGGGAGAAAGUGGGGGAUCUUUGGACCUCACGCUAUCAGAUGAGCCUAGGUCGGAUUAGCUAGUUGGUAGGGUAAAGGCCUACCAAGGCGACGAUCCGUAACUGGUCUGAGAGGAUGAUCAGUCACACUGGAACUGAGACACGGUCCAGACUCCUACGGGAGGCAGCAGUGGGGAAUAUUGGACAAUGGGCGAAAGCCUGAUCCAGCCAUGCCGCGUGUGUGAAGAAGGUCUUCGGAUUGUAAAGCACUUUAAGUUGGGAGGAAGGGCAGUAAGUUAAUACCUGGCUGUUUUGACGUUACCAACAGAAUAAGCACCGGCUAACUUCGUG
rnacentral:rRNA from 1 species